rnacentral:rRNA from 1 species
GACGAACGCUGGCGGCGUGCUUAACACAUGCAAGUCGAACGGAAAGGCCCUGCUUUUGUGGGGUGCUCGAGUGGCGAACGGGUGAGUAACACGUGAGUAACCUGCCCUUGACUUUGGGAUAACUCCAGGAAACUGGGGCUAAUACCGGAUAGGAGCUCCUGCUGCAUGGUGGGGGUUGGAAAGUUUCGGCGGUUGGGGAUGGACUCGCGGCUUAUCAGCUUGUUGGUGGGGUAGUGGCUUACCAAGGCUUUGACGGGUAGCCGGCCUGAGAGGGUGACCGGCCACAUUGGGCCUGAGAUACGGCCCAGACUCCUACGGGAGGCAGCGGUGGGGAAUAUUGCACAAUGGGCGGAAGCCUGAUGCAGCAACGCCGCGUGCGGAAUGACGGCCUUCGGGUUGUAACCCGCUUUCGCCUGUGACGAAGCGUGAUUGACGGUAAUGGGUAAAGAAGCACCGGCUAACUACGUG